ACGCUCGACACCUAUGGGAGGCAGCAGUGGGGAAUAUUGCACAAUGGGGAAACCCUGAUGCAGCGACGCCGCGUGAGCGAAGAAGUAUUUCGGUAUGUAAAGCUCUAUCAGCAGGGAAGAAACUGACGGUACCUGACUAAGAAGCACCGGCUAAAUACGUGCCAACAGCCGCGGUAAUCUGAGCGGGCUGGCAAGGC
rnacentral:rRNA from 1 species